GCCUAGUUAGCUUAGUUGGUAGUGCGUCUGCCUUGUAAGCGCUUGGCCGCGGGUUCGAUUCCCGCCCGGGGCG
rfam:Asian citrus Psyllid, Diaphorina citri - Florida Strain, whole genome shotgun sequence.